GAUGAACGCUGGCGGCGUGCCUAAUACAUGCAAGUCGAGCGAACAGAUAGGAGCUUGCUCCUUUGACGUUAGCGGCGGACGGGUGAGUAACACGUGGAUAACCUACCUAUAAGACUGGGAUAACUUCGGGAAACCGGAGCUAAUACCGGAUAACAUAUUGAACCGCAUGGUUCAAUAGUGAAAGGCGGCUUUGCUGUCACUUAUAGAUGGAUCCGCGCCGUAUUAGCUAGUUGGUAAGGUAACGGCUCACCAAGGCAACGAUACGUAGCCGACCUGAGAGGGUGAUCGGCCACACUGGAACUGAGACACGGUCCAGACUCCUACGGGAGGCAGCAGUAGGGAAUCUUCCGCAAUGGGCGAAAGCCUGACGGAGCAACGCCGCGUGAGUGAUGAAGGUCUUCGGAUCGUAAAACUCUGUUAUCAGGGAAGAACAAAUGUGUAAGUAACUGUGCACAUCUUGACGGUACCUGAUCAGAAAGCCACGGCUAACUACGUG
rnacentral:rRNA from 1 species